rnacentral:rRNA from 1 species
AGUCUGAACGCUGGCGGCGUGGCUAAGACAUGCAAGUCGUACGGACGUAGCAAUACGUCAGUGGCGGACGGGUGAGUAAUAUAUAGCUAACGUACCCCGGAUUCUGGGAUAGCUGUCCGAAAGGACAGGUAAUACCAGAUGAUAUAACCGUGUCGCAUGGCAUGGUUCUCAAAGGGCAACCGUUCUGGGAUCGGGCUAUAUCGUAUCAGCUAGUUGGUAAGGUAAUGGCUUACCAAGGCUUUGACGCGUAGCCGGACUGAGAGGUCGGCCGGCCACAUCGGAACUGAGACACUGCCGGACUCCUACGGGGGGCUGCAGUAACGAAUCUCCACAAUGCAACGAAAGUGUAGAUGGGAGCGACGCCGCGUGUGGAUGAAGUCCUCGGGAUCGUAACCACUGUACGAGGGAAAGAAGA